CGCACCUUGCGCUCCUUGGUAUUCCGAGGAGCAUGCCUGUUUGAGUGUCAUGAAUAUCAUCAACCUCUGAUCUGCUCUUUUGCUGGUUGGAAGGCUUGGACAUUGGGGGUUCUCUGGCAGCCUCUUCGGAGGUUGGCUCCCCUGGAAUACAUUAGCUGGACAUGAUCCUUGGUCCAUUGUGCGGAGCAUGGACUUCCAUGGUGUAGUACGCUAUUCACCUUUGGAGGCCUCUCCCGACCGUUUCGAGUCCGCUGCAAACUGUCUUUGGACAACCUCUUGACAAUCUGGCCUCAAAUCAGGUAGGACUACCCGCUGAACUUAA
rnacentral:misc_RNA from 1 species